rnacentral:lncRNA from 1 species
AUGAAAGUUACACUCCUUGACUUCUUGGCAUAUAUACAUACAUACAUACAUACAUACAUACCUACUUAUACAGAUGCACAUAGCACUUCACAUAAUUUGAAGUCAAUGAAUUCCAACUGUACUGUGCUAAUUUGGUUUUCUUCUUUUUGUAGAGCCUCUGAGAGAGGUGUCUCAGCCUCAAGUUGUAGAUGCCAGGAAAGAAUCUGUCCCCAUCACCUGGAACUCCCCAGCCCUUCAUGGAGGCUCCCCAGUGAAAGGUUACGUUAUAGAAAAAAGGAAGAAGGGCAGCAGUCUUUGUUUCCCAGUCACCGAAGAGCCUGUCCAAGGUACCAGAUUCAAAGAGGAUGGUUUUCUGGCGGAUACAGAAUGAGCUCCGUGUGAUAGCUGUCAACUAUGUAGGCCCUGGACUUCUCAGCAUGCCCUCAACCUCUCAUUGCGAAAGAACUCAUCAAUCAGUAUGUUUCUGUGACUAUUUAAUGUCUAGUUUUUCUAGUAUUUUCUAGUUUUCAUGUAUGCAAUGACCAGGUUUAUGCAUUUAUGACUGAAGUCUGAGGAACUGUGGCAAUCCAGCCUGGCUCAGUGUGGAGUGUAUUGUGUUUAUAGCUUAACUAAAGAUUAAGGAAGGCCUUAAUACUGUUGGCUAUAAAUGUAAUUAUAAAUGCCUGGAAGUAUGAUAUUAUUCACUGAAAACAUGUAACUGUUAACAUAAGAAUGUGGUAAGAGUUUCGCACCUGGGGGAAUUGAGUAUAUGCAAACAGCGAAGAUCAACAUGAUAAAGAUGCUCUGAGGUGUAGAUACCUUUAGUACUUAAUAGUCACAUACAGGUUGCCAAAGGUCCUAAUGUAUGGUAAAGAAACUUUCUCAUGCAUCCUACUAUGCUCUUUCAUCCGUCCCCCAUCACCUCUUUAAAAAAAAGAGAAGACUCUUGCAGAAUUUAUGAAAGUUGGUUACUUCCUUUUAUUUGAGUACUGGAUUUUUAGUCCAGGAAUCUUGUAAUGGACACACGAGUGGGCCUUAGUAGCUGCACAUAAUGUAUUAAAAACACAACAAAAACAGAACACCUGUCCAAGUGUGGAAGCUGAUAUAGCUGAAAAAUGAGAGAAUUCUAUGUAGUAGACAAGUGCCUUGAAGUUAAAUAGUUACUUGGAUGGUAAAGGGAUUCAGGUUCCUUUGCGUCAGAAGACACACAAAAGCAGUUUAAAGCCUGAAGCUAAGAUUCUUCAGUUGAAGAUCUGGAUUAUCUCACAUUAGGCCUAGGAUGAUAUAUACUGUCCAUAUCCAUCAUAUUCCUUAUGACCCUAUAUGCUCAUUUGAGUGUUCUGUAUGAAAGCAAUUAGAAUCAAGUUUGUCAAGGCAUGCUGCCCUGGCUAACUUUUUU